rnacentral:sRNA from 17 species
GGAGCGGGCCUUUCAGGCAUCCUCUCCUAAUGACUUACGGGCUGGUUCUUCGGAGCCGGCCCUUUUUUUUGUCGGCG